rnacentral:rRNA from 1 species
UAAUACGUAGGGUCCGAGCGUUGUCCGGAAUUAUUGGGCGUAAAGGGCUCGUAGGCGGUUUGUCACGUCGGAAGUGAAAACUCAGGGCUCAACCCUGAGCGUGCUUACGAUACGGGCAAACUAGAGGUAUGCAGGGGAGAACGGAAUUCCUGGUGUAGCGGUGGAAUGCGCAGAUAUCAGGAGGAACACCGGUGGCGAAGGCGGUUCUCUGGGCAUUACCUGACGCUGAGGAGCGAAAGCAUGGGGAGCGAACAGGAUUAGAUACCCUGGUAGUCCAUGCCGUAAACGUUGGGCGCUAGGUGUGGGGACCUUCCACGGUCUCCGUGCCGCAGCUAACGCAUUAAGCGCCCCGCCUGGGGAGUACGGCCGCAAGGCUAAAACUUAAAGGAAUUGACGG